AUCAAAUUGGGCGCCCCACCCAGGUUGCUGCUAACUUGGUUGCUGAAGGAUUGGAGUUAUUUGAAUUCUUCUGUCCUCUUUCCUGUUUGUAACACUUUCCUUUUUGUGGGAGUACCACAGGGGAAUUCCUCAUCUGUUAUGUUUUACUUUAUCACGUCUUGUAAACCACAUUUUAUAAUUAUUUUAACAAUAAGCUACUGCUGUGAAGGUGCAGGGAGAAUGCUAUGUACAAGCCAAGGAAGAUCUGAGGCCCCCAGAAGCUGGGAGAGAGGUGUGGGGCAGCUUCUCCCUUACAGCCCUCAGAAGGAACCCACCCUCCUGAUACCUUGCUCUUGGACUUCUAGCCUCUGGAACCAGAGCUUCCUGGAGGAACUGAUUCUGAGGUUUGUUGAGACAUAAAGGAUGAAGGCAAAAUGGGCAGGGAAGAGUGCUCCACAUAGAGGGAACGGCACGUGAAGAAGUCUGGAGGUGAAGUUCGUGGCUGCUUCUGAGAAUAGAAUGUGUGUUCUGUCAGCAGCUAAGAGCACAGAUCUGGGUGCUGAUCAAGACCCCGAAGCAGGCCUGAGAAAACGCAGAACUGAGAAUGUAAACUUCACGAAGGAAAAUUUUGUUCACUGCUGUGUGCCUAGAAAGGACAGUUCCAGACACUGAGAGAAAGAUAAAUAAAUAUUUGUGGAGUGAAUGAAAAAUUGAAUGAAAAGAUGACUGCCAGACCUCUGAGCACGAGCUGUUCCUGACAUCGUUUCUGUCAAUUUCCUAGAGACCCAGGAUCCAGUCACGAGUCCCUCAUGGGGCUGGAUCAGGAGACAUCACCAUGCAUUUGUCAGAGUCCAUUAUGCCCCCUGCUGAAGAAGGCUGUGAUCUUCAGUCGACCUCUUUGUGUCCACUGUCCUCUUCACUUCCAGUGAACGUAUCCCGGAUGAUCCUCAGUCUGUCUUGCAAAUAGACUUGGACAUGUCCCUUCAGAUCGGCAGACAGGCCUGACUCCAGCAGUGUGUUGGGCUUGAGCUCAAAGCUGGGACACAAACGAUGCUUAUAUUGAGCUGAAAACAAUCACUCUGCAUUUAUUACCCCAAAGCCCUUCUUAUACUCCCCAGGACUACACAGAACAAGCAUAAUUCCCUUCUAACAUGUCCACCUAACAAGACUGAAGCCAGCUCUCUUUUCCUGCUCCCCUUAAAACUAUUUUCUAGGUAAAGCACGCUCAGGACUUUCUACCAUUCUUCAGAUGACACGUUUCAUGUUUUUUCAUCGUUUGGGCCCCUUUCCUCUUAAUAUGCUCUGGCCUGUCUGUGACCUUCUAAACAUGUGAGGUCAAAGAGACUAUCUGCCUGGCCAGGAAAGAUUGGAGUAGACUAUCACC
rnacentral:lncRNA from 1 species